AAAUAGACAACGUCCGAAUGAUGAGUGUUAAAUGACGUUGUAAAACUAAACUAUCUCAUACCACCUUUGUGAACUGUAUUUGUCUCUGGCGGGAUGGGUGAAAUUUCGGUUUCAUCUGUCAGCUUGGUCUUUGAUCAAGCCGUGGACAACCCGCCAAAAACUUGCAUCAACCUUGAUUUUUGUCUUUGUCUAACAUUUUUUGUAUAAAUAUACAAA
rnacentral:misc_RNA from 1 species